UGAACGCUGGCGGCGUGCUUAACACAUGCACGUCGAACGAAACACCUUAUUUGAUUUUCUUCGGAACUGAGGAUUUGGUGAUUGAGUGGCGGACGGGUGAGUAACGCGUGGGUAACCUGCCCUGUACAGGGGGAUAACAGUCAGAAAUGACUGCUAAUACCGCAUAAGACCACAGCACCGCAUGGUGCAGGGGUAAAAACUCCGGUGGUACAGGAUGGACCCGCGUCUGAUUAGCUGGUUGGUGAGGUAACGGCUCACCAAGGCGACGAUCAGUAGCCGGCUUGAGAGAGUGAACGGCCACAUUGGGACUGAGACACGGCCCAAACUCCUACGGGAGGCAGCAGUGGGGAAUAUUGCACAAUGGGGGAAACCCUGAUGCAGCGACGCCGCGUGAGUGAAGAAGUAUUUCGGUAUGUAAAGCUCUAUCAGCAGGGAAGAAAAUGACGGUACCUGACUAAGAAGCCCCGGCUAACUACGUG
rnacentral:rRNA from 1 species